CGUAGACACAAUAUAACGGCAUUCUACUGUAUUUAUAACUCGAAGGAAAUAAAACAUUACUAUCCAGUAUUUUUGUAAACUGCAGUGAGCACGCCGGGACUUUCAUCCGUCUUGUUAACAGUGAUAAACGCGCCAAAUGCGACAUCAUCGAGUGCAACUGGAUUUCUGACUCUGUGACUCGGAUUAUAUUAUUCCCAAUUACAGGGUUCAGGUGAAACACCAGGAAGAAGAAUCCAGCACUGGAUGAUCAGCCUUGAGGAGCACAUCAUUUGUGAGGGCAUCCAGCCAGCUUUUCUGUCUGGGCUUGCAGCUGAUUUUUCUACUUACAACAAUUUCAAUCUUCAAUACCAAGCUGAA